AACGAACGCUGGCGGCAGGCUUAACACAUGCAAGUCGAACGCAUCGCAAGAUGAGUGGCAGACGGGUGAGUAACGCGUGGGAACAUACCCUUUUCUACGGAAUAGCUCUGGGAAACUGGAAUUAAUACCGUAUACGCCCUACGGGGGAAAGAUUUAUCGGGGAAGGAUUGGCCCGCGUUGGAUUAGCUAGUUGGUGGGGUAAAGGCCUACCAAGGCGACGAUCCAUAGCUGGUCUGAGAGGAUGAUCAGCCACAUUGGGACUGAGACACGGCCCAAACUCCUACGGGAGGCAGCAGUGGGGAAUAAUGGACAAUGGGCGCAAGCCUGAUCCAGCCAUGCCGCGUGAGUGAUGAAGGCCUUAGGGCUGUAAAGCUCUUUCACCGAUGAAGAUAAUGACGGUAGUCGGAGAAGAAGCCCCGGCUAACUUCGUGCCAGCAGCCGCCGUAAUAC
rnacentral:rRNA from 1 species